ACAACUCCAAGAAUAUAAAAUAAAAUAUAAAACCCAUGUCUCUUUGUUAGAACUGCAUCCAGCCCUAGAGAAGAGCUCAGCCUUCCAUGGAGUAGUGGACGGCGGCAGCAGCACAGCAGCGGCCUCCCAUUAGGACUUCCUUCCUCUCGCUUGUGUUUGGUUUUCUCUUCUCUGGCCUCUGCAAGCACUCCUCAGAUCCUUGGAUUAAUGUGGGAACUUGGCCUGUGAACCCGAGCUCGAUGGGAGAAGCCUCCCCCCGGUGGGGGAAGAAGGAAUGCCCCUCCUUCACGUCUGACUCCCUUUUUAUAAGCUGCCCCCACUCCCUCUCUACUCCCCUGUUUCAAAUCAAAGAUAAGGAUGCUGGGAAUUCGAGUGGAUGCUCACGGCUGAGAGAAUCUUUGGACGCAGAAGGAGAUAAGGAUGCUGAUUCUUGGAGUGGGGAGAGGAUGAACUCUAAGGAUGAACGCUGGGAAGAAGAUUCUGUUUCCGAAAG
rnacentral:lncRNA from 1 species